rnacentral:rRNA from 1 species
CUCCUUGACGUUAGCGGCGGACGGGCGAGUAACACGUGGGUAACCUACCUAUAAGACUGGGAUAACUUCGGAAACCGGAGCUAAUACCGGAUAAUAUUUCGAACCGCAUGGUUCGAUAGUGAAAGGNGGUUUUGCUAUCACUUAUAGAUGGACCCGCGCCGUAUUAGCUAGUUGGUAAGGUAACGGCUUACCAAGGCGACGAUACGUAGCCGACCUGAGAGGGUGAUCGGCCACACUGGAACUGAGACACGGUCCAGACUCCUACGGGAGGCAGCAGCC